AUUGAACGCUGGCGGCAGGCCUAACACAUGCAAGUCGAACGGUAACAGGAAGAAGCUUGCUUCUUUGCUGACGAGUGGCGGACGGGUGAGUAAUGUCUGGGAAACUGCCUGAUGGAGGGGGAUAACUACUGGAAACGGUAGCUAAUACCGCAUAACGUCGCAAGCCCAAAAAGGGGGACCUUCGGGCCUCUGGCCUCCGGAGUUGCCCAGAUGGGAUUAGCUAGUAGGUGGGGUAACGGCUCACCUAGGCGACGAUCCCUAGCUGGUCUGAGAGGAUGACCAGCCACACUGGAACUGAGACACGGUCCAGACUCCUACGGGAGGCAGCAGUGGGGAAUAUUGCACAAUGGGCGCAAGCCUGAUGCAGCCAUGCCGCGUGUAUGAAGAAGGCCUUCGGGUUGUAAAGUACUUUCAGCGGGGAGGAAGGGAGUAAAGUUAAUACCUUUGCUCAUUGACGUUACCCGCAGAAGAAGCACCGGCUAACUCCGUG
rnacentral:rRNA from 1 species